AAAAAUUCUUCGUAUGUAUACAGAGCCCUCAUAGCAUAUCUACUUUAAUAAACGAUCUCCAAAGUCAACGUUGUUUAACGAUUGCUGAAUUAAAAUAAACGAAAAAAGGAAAAAAAAAAGAGUCGCAUAUAAAACGUUCGGUCACCCAACACCCCGGUGAAAGUCGCGAGAAGCUUUUAAACCGCUCGACAAGCGUGACAAGUUGACACGGACGUCCGUCAGACGCGAAACGGUUAAUUUAGAGUUGUCCGUGGGUGGGAAUGCUGGAUUGUCUUGUGAUGCUCGUUUUGUAAAGAAGGGGGCAAACGAGCAGCGGGAACACCGAGGUGUUCA